GCUUCCAAGAAAAGCCCUAUACCCGUUAAGGCAUCAUGGCCUGUACCCGAAACCGACACAGGUGGGGUGGUAGAGAAUACCGAGGGGCGCGAGGUAACUCUCUCUGAGGAACUCGGCAAAAUGGCCCCGUAACUUCGGGAGAAGGGGUGCCAGCGAGAGCUGGUCGCAGUGAAGAGGCCCAGGCGACUGUUUACCAAAAACACAGGUCUCCGCUAAGUCGCAAGACGAUGUAUGGGGGCUGACGCCUGCCCAGUGCCGGAAGGUUAAGGAAGCUGGUCAGCGCAAGCGAAGCUGGCGACUGAAGCCCCGGUGAACGGCGGCCGUAACUAUAACGGUCCUAAGGUAGCGAAAUUCCUUGUCGGGUAAGUUCCGACCCGCACGAAAGGCGUAACGAUCUGGGCGCUGUCUCGGAGAGAGGCUCGGCGAAAUAGAAUUGUCUGUGAAGAUGCCGACUACGUGCACCCGGACAGAAAGACCCUAUGAAGCUUUACUGUAGCUUGGUAUUGUGCUCGGGCUCGGAAUGCGCAGGAUAGGUGGGAGGCUUGGAUCCAUUGCUUGCGGGUGAUGGUGAGCCACUGGUGAGAUACCACUCUUUUCGAGCUUAAGUUCUAACCCUUACCCGUUAUCCGGGGAGGGAACAGUAUCAGGUGGGCAGUUUGACUGGGGCGGUCGCCUCCUAAAAGGUAACGGAGGCGCGCAAAGGUUCCCUCAGGCUGGUUGGAAAUCAGCCGACGAGUGCAAAGGCAGAAGGGAGCUUGACUGUGAGACCUACAAGUCGAACAGGGACGAAAGUCGGCCUUAGUGAUCCGACGGUUCUGCGUGGAAGGGCCGUCGCUCAACGGAUAAAAGUUACUCUAGGAUAACAGGCUGAUCUCCCCCAAGAGUUCACAUCGACGGGGAGGUUUGGCACCUCGAUGUCGGCUCAUCGCAACCUGGGGCUGAAGUCGGUCCCAGGGGUUGGGCUGUUCGCCCAUUAAAGCGGUACGCGAGCUGGGUUCAGAACGUCGUGAGACAGUUCGGUCCAUAUCCGGUGCACGCGCAGGAAUAUUGAGAGGAUUUCUCCCUAGUACGAGAGGACCGGGAGGAACGCACCUCUGGUGUGCCAGUUAUCGUGCCAACGGUAAACGCUGGGUAGCCAUGUGCGGAGAGGAUAACCGCUGAAAGCAUCUAAGUGGGAAGCCCACCUCAAGAUGAGUAUUCCCAUGGCAUAAGCCAGUAAGGUCACGGGAAGAUUACCCGUUGAUAGGCCCUACGUGGAAGCGCAGUAAUGUGUGAAGCGGAGGGGUACUAAUAGACCGAGGGCUUG
rnacentral:rRNA from 1 species